UAAGAGAGUAAAGUACACUACGUGUAGUGUAUUGCUAGUUCUUACGAAUAAGCAUCGGCUAAUUCCGUACAAGCAGCCGCGGUAAUACGAAAGAUGCAAGUGUUAUCCGGGAUUUAAUGGGUUAAAAGGGUGCGUAGGUGGUCUAUAAGUCAGUGGUGAAAUCUCUUUGCUUAACAGGGAAAUUGCCAUUGAGACUGUUAGACUUGAGAAUGGACGAGGUAGGCGGAAUCGUAGUGUAGCGGUGAAAUGCAUAGAUAUUACGAAGAACUCCAAUAGUGUAGACUGCUUACCAGACCAUAUCUGACACUAAGGCACGAAAGUGUGGGUAUCAAACAGGAUUAGAUACCCUGGUAGUCCACACAGUAAACGAUGAAUACUAACUGUUUGCGAUAUACAGCAAGUGGUCGAGCGAAAGCGUUAAGUAUUCCACCUGGGAAGUAUGCCGGCAACGGUGAAACUCAAAGGAAUUGACGGGGGCCCGCACAAGCGGAGGAACAUGUGGUUUAAUUCGAUAAUACGCGAGGAACCUUACCCGGGCUCGAACGAUAUUUGAAUACAUCCGAAAAGAUGUAGCUAGCAAUAGCAAAUACCGAGGUGCUGCAUGGUUGUCGUCAGCUCGUGCCGUGAGGUGUCGACUUAAGUGUCAUAACGAGCGCAACCCUUACCGAUAGUUACCAUCAGAUAAUGCUGGGGACUCUAUUGGGACUGCCACCGUAAGGUGUGAGGAAGGAGAGGAUGACGUCAAAUCAGCACGGCCCUUAUGUCCGGGGCGACACACGUGUUACAAUGGGAGAAACAAAGGGUCGCUACCUGGCAACAGGAUGCUAAUCUCGAAAAUCUCUCUCAGUUCGGAUUGGAGUCUGCAACUCGACUCCAUGAAGCUGGAUUCGCUAGUAAUCGCACAUCAGCCAUGGUGCGGUGAAUACGUUCCCGGGCCUUGUACACACCGCCCGUCAAGCCAUGGAAGCUGGAAGUACCUGAAGUAUGUAACUAAAAGAGCGU
rnacentral:rRNA from 1 species